CCUACGGGAGGCUGCAGUGGGGAAUAUUGGACAAUGGGCGAAAGCCUGAUCCAGCCAUGCCGCGUGUGUGAAGAAGGCCUUCGGGUUGUAAAGCACUUUCAGUGGGGAAGAAAGCCUUGGGGCUAAUACCCUCGAGGAAGGACAUCACCCACAGAAGAAGCACCGGCUAACUCCGUGCCAGCAGCCGCGGUAAUACGGAGGGUGCGAGCGUUAAUCGGAAUUACUGGGCGUAAAGCGCGCGUAGGCGGUCUGAUAAGCCGGUUGUGAAAGCCCCGGGCUCAACCUGGGAACGGCAUCCGGAGGGGUAGGGGGGGGGGGGAGGAGAGGAGGGGAGAAGCCCGGGGGGAGGGGGAAAUGGCGGAGAGACGGGGAGGAAGACGAGUGGAGAGGGCGGCCUUAUGGACUGCCAGUGACCCUGGGGGGCAAAAUCGUGGGUAGAAACCAGAUUAAGAGACCAUGGAAGCC
rnacentral:rRNA from 1 species